rnacentral:rRNA from 1 species
CCUUACCUACUCUUGACAUCCAGAGAACUUUCCAGAGAUGGAUUGGUGCCUUCGGGAACUCUGAGACAGGUGCUGCAUGGCUGUCGUCAGCUCGUGUUGUGAAAUGUUGGGUUAAGUCCCGCAACGAGCGCAACCCUUAUCCUUUGUUGCCAGCGGUUAGGCCGGGAACUCAAAGGAGACUGCCAGUGAUAAACUGGAGGAAGGUGGGGAUGACGUCAAGUCAUCAUGGCCCUUACGAGUAGGGCUACACACGUGCUACAAUGGCGCAUACAAAGAGAAGCGACCUCGCGAGAGCAAGCGGACCUCAUAAAGUGCGUCGUAGUCCGGAUUGGAGUCUGCAACUCGACUCCAUGAAGUCGGAAUCGCUAGUAAUCGUAGAUCAGA